GAAUGCUGACAUAAGUAACGAUAAAGCGGGUGAAAAGCCCGCUCGCCGGAAGACCAAGGGUUCCUGUCCAACGUUAAUCGGGGCAGGGUGAGUCGACCCCUAAGGCGAGGCCGAAAGGCGUAGUCGAUGGGAAACGGGUUAAUAUUCCCGUACUUGGUGUUACUGCGAAGGGGGGACGGAGAAGGCUAUGUUGGCCGGGCGACGGUUGUCCCGGUUUAAGCGUGUAGGUGUGUGUUCCAGGUAAAUCCGGUUCACUUUAACACUGAGGCGUGACGACGAGGCACUACGGUGCUGAAGCAACAAAUGCCCUGCUUCCAGGAAAAGCCUCUAAGCAUCAGGUAACAUCAAAUCGUACCCCAAACCGACACAGGUGGUCAGGUAGAGAAUACCAAGGCGCUUGAGAGAACUCGGGUGAAGGAACUAGGCAAAAUGGUGCCGUAACUUCGGGAGAAGGCACGCUGACACGUAGGUGAAGUGAUUUACUCAUGGAGCUGAAGUCAGUCGAAGAUACCAGCUGGCUGCAACUGUUUAU
rnacentral:rRNA from 1 species